AAAAUAGCCAAAUUAUGUAAAAAUUAAAAACACACAUUAUGCCGUCUUAAAACAUGUCAAAAUCUCAGCCUCCUGGUUGUGGGCUAAGUUUUAAUUUGAACCAACUUUUGAUGAUUAUUGGGUCUAUAGUAAUCCUGGUACUGCUGUUUCUGGUUGUCUGCCAUAUUGUGAAUGGCCGAUAGAGAUGGGGAAAAGUUCCGUGUGCUAUGAGAUUGAUUUAGUGCAAAUAAUAGUAAUUGCCUUAGCAUUUGUGACCUUGCUUAUUGUAAUGAACUGGAUGUGCAAGUACUACAGCUGCUCUUAGGAAGAUGACGUGCCAUACCCUUAACGUGUCGCUGACGCAAAUUAUCUUGAUGGUGGGAACGCUUGUGGUUCUGGGCUUGUUGUUCACGGUAAUAUGCAGUAUUAUUGAGGAGAAGGCGUAGACAUGCCAUGGAACCAAAAAACUAUACAAAAUGUCCAAAUUGAUGUGAGAAGUUUCAUUAUGGUAGGAUUUGCGUUUCUCAUCUGGUUGAUAUCCAUGCAAUAUAUAUUUUUAGUUAAGCGUUAAAUUUCAACUCAGAGAGCAUCCAUCGCACUUUAACACGCUAAAGGAAAAUAUCGUGGAGUAAUCAACAAUUCUUAGGAGUUGAUUCAGAGUAAAUACUUUGUGCGUAGCGUCCACCGGAAACUGAAUUGGAUUUUAAUAUUAAUUAGAAAUUGCUGUAGCUGCGGCCUUUUCGUACAUUGUUUAGUUUCGUUGUUAAGAAUUUACUAUGUUAAGAUCAACUUAUAACAGAUCCAACAAUUUCAAAUAUAUUAUGUAACGAUUGAUGAGUCGAAAGUAUCUGUAAAAAACGAUGGGUAAGAAAGACUACUUUCGUGAGUUUUAAAUAAUUCUUUGUACUCAUACUAUCGAUUCACCAAUAGCACGAAUUAUUGGUAUAAGGUAUUCGCUAGUUCGGCCGGCGCUUCAGUGUCAGUUCGUUGAAGAGAAUCUCUAGAAGCCAAAAAAGUGCUAAGGAUUUUUAUUUUACAGAAACAUACACAAUUUGAUGUAAGACGAAUUUAGGUAGUACGUUGUUGCAAAUUGUUAAUGUAAUAUGUACUGUAUUCUCAAACGAAACAUGUAUCUAACAGACCUUUGAGCCAAUAACGUAUAUUCAUUUUGGAUGUUAUUCUUAGUUUUCCUGCAAUAUCCAUAUCAUAACUGAAUAUCAUGUUUUUUUAAAGUUAUUGACUGCCACCUGUAUUCUGAAAUAGCUAAAUAUGUUGUUGUUUCAACAUUUAUUUUUCUAAUAGGUACAGUACUUGAGCUUUAAUUCUUACCAACAGAUUCAUCCCUUUAUAAUUACAGAAUAAAUCGUUUAUAUAUAAUGCGCUUCUUGUUAUAAAUAAUUCAUACUGAGCCCCUCGUCCUCGACCUCUAUAUAUUAUUAAUCUGUUUACUAGCUA